rnacentral:rRNA from 1 species
UCCAGUUGAUCCUGCUGGAGAUUGCUGCUAUUGGGGUUCGACUAAGCCAUGCAAGUCAGAGGGUCUCUUCGGAGGCACAGGCGAAAUGCUCAGUAACACGUUGUUAAUCUGCCCUAUGGUUCGGGAUAACCUUGGAAAACUGAGGCUAAAACCGGAUAGGUAAUUGAUACUGGAAUGUACUUUUACCCAACAUAGGAUGAGACAGCGGCUGAUUAGGCUGUUGGCGGGGUAACGGCCCACCAAACCUUAGAUCAGUAUGGGCUUUGAGAGAAGUAGCCCAGAGAAGGACACUGAGAAACUGGUCCUAGCCCUACGGGGUGCAGCAGGCGCGAAACCUUUACAAUGCACGCAAGUGUGAUAAGGGAACCCCAAGUGCUCAUGUUAUACAUGGGCUUUUGCCAAAGGUAAAUACUUUGGCGAAUAAGUGGUGGGUAAGACCGGUGCCAGCCGCCGCGGUAACACCGGCGCCACGAGUGGCAAUCACUUUUAUUGGGCCUAAAGCGUCCGUAGCUGGUUUUGUAAGUCCUUUGUGAAAUCGUCAAGCUUAACUUGACGGCGUGCUUAGGAUACUACAAAACUUGAAACCGGGAGGAGUCAGAGGUAUUCUGAGGGGAGCGGUAAAAUGCUAUAAUCCUCAGAGGACCACCUGUGGCGAAGGCGUCUGACUAGAACGGAUUUGACAGUGAGGGACGAAAGCCAGGGGAGCGAUCCGGAUUAGAUACCCGAGUAGUCCUGGCCGUAAACGCUGCGAGCUAGGCGUUGCAAAUUCUACGUGAAUUUGCAGUGUCGUAGCGAAGGUGUUAAGCUCGCCGCCUGGGAAGUAUGGUCGCAAGGCUGAAACUUAAAGGAAUUGGCGGGGGAGCACUACAACGAGUGGAAUGUGCGGUUUAAUCUAAUUCAACGCAGAGAAUCUCACCAGGAGCGACGGCAGAAUGAAAGUCAGAUUGAAGGUCUUACUUAACGAGCCGAGAGGUAGUGCAUGGCCGCCGUCAGCUCGUGCCGUAAGGUGUCCUGUUAAGUCAGGCAACGAGCGAGACCUGUACCUAUAAUUGCUAGCGGGCUCUUUGGAGCGACUGAGCACAUUAUAGGAACUGCCCUGGAAACAGGGAGGAAGGUGCGGGCUACGGUAGGUCUGUAUGCUCCGAAUCUCCUGGGCGACACGCGCAUUACAAUGGCAGCGACAAUGGGAUACAACUCCGAAAGGAGAAGUUAAUCCUCGAAACGCUGUCUCAGUUCGGAUUGAGGACUGUAACUCGUCCUCAUGAAGCCGGAAUUCGUAGUAAUCGGAAUUCAACAUAUUCCGGUGAAUACGUCCCUGCUCCUUGCACACACUGCCCGUCAAACCACUCGAGCCGGGUUUAGAUGAGUUCCAAUUUUUUGAUUGGCCCGAAUCUAAGCUUAGUGAGAUGGGUUAAGUCGUCACAAGGUA